AAUUAUUUAGGAAGGCUUUCACAUCCCAACUUGGUCAAGCUCCUUGGAUACUGUUGGGAAGAUAAAGAUCUUUCACUUGUAUACGAGUUUAUACAGAGGGAGAGCCUGGCAAACCAUCUAUUUAGAAGUAAGAACUUGAUCCAGAAAUUGAACGAAGCAAUUAAUGAGAAACGAGAAUUGCUAAUGUUGAUUUUUGGUUUGGAUGUCUGUUCAGGAAGUGUUGUAAUUGAACCCUUAUUGUGGGACAUAAGACUUAAAUAGCUAUAGGAGCUGUUCGGGGCCUAGAUUUUUUGCAUUCUUCAGAUAACCAAGUCAUCUACAGAAACUUUAAAUCUUCCAGCAUGCUGCUUGAUUAGGUAUGAUUCCAUAAAGUAAUUCCUUACCAUCUGAAAAUUUUCAAUUCAGUUUUUUGACUAUUAGUUAUUGUUUGGAUGAAUAAUUUAGUUGUUUAAGUUGGAAACUUAGCUAAGACAAUUCUAUGUCCCAAAAUUUUUUGGUAAUCUACAUUCGUGUCCUUGUUAAUACAUUUUCAAAACAUUACUUGCAGCAAAUUCAACUUUGAACUUCAUAUUGAAGAUGUGACCAAAGUAUUUUAAACGCCAGAUUAUAAAUCCUAUAUUGGUUGCUGGCUAUCCAGUUAUAAGAUUCCCUUUUACUGAAAUCUUUUCUUGUCAUUAUUAUUAAUUUCUCUUCAGGUACUAAGCAAACAUCUAAAACUAGAGAGAGAGGGAGAAUUUUUUGUAAUCAAUGUAUCCAGGAAGCAGAUCCGACCUCUUCAAGGAUAUGGUGUUGAUGUACGAGUAACUUAGAGUUGUGGAUGGAUAAUAGAUCUUCCAGGCUAGAUGGUCGUCGGGAACAAUGAUUCAAAUUAUUGAUCAAGCAUUUACCUCUAAUGGAAGGGAAUUCUUGCAAACUUUAUGUUUAACAUCUUGUUUAUAAAAUGCCAAGAUGACAUGCAAACUAGAUCUUUCUAUUUAUUAUCUUGUCCAGUUGUUUCAAGAUUUUUCCUUUUAUCUUUAAUGUAAAUCUGUGCUGGUUGAAGAAAAUUAGUGGAAUGCUACAUAAAUGUUUUUUGCUUAUAGUUAAGCGCUGUAACUCUGUUUUCCUUAUGUUGCAGGAUUACUCUGCAAAAAUAUCAGACUUUGGCUUAGCAAUAUUUAGAGGGAUGUGAACAUAUGGUUAUGCUGCUCCUGAAUAUGUUGCAAUGGAUGAGUGUCUAUUUGAUUGUAUGUUACCUUUCAUAGAGUCCUGAACUCAGAUCUACUUUCAUUUCUUGUUAGAUCUGAUCUAUCGUGGAUAUGAUUUUCCAUUUUAAGCCAAAUUUGAUUUGAUGAAAAA
rnacentral:lncRNA from 1 species